AGUUCUUUGGAACUGAGAGACUAUGUUUGAAAUAGCUCUAUUUUUGUUUAUCUAAAAGAGUAGCUUGCCUCUCUCUAUAUGUUAAAUAUAUCCAAUAUAAAAAUACGAAGAUAUACGUAUGAUAGUCAAUGAGACAACUUUCCACCAGAAUCUUAAGUGCUAUGGUUAAUCUCCUUGUUCGUACAUGUCAUUGGUUGAAUUUCCAUUGUUUGUAACAUUUUAAACCCAUCACAACGUUUUGGUGUACGCUUUUGAAAAUAUUACCCAGAAUGCAUUAUAUUCUGAAACGGCGAAUUGACAUAUAAGUCAGCGACUAGAUGUCACCGUACAAGUAUUUUUCCAAAAAAAAAUAUUGUAACAGUCUUUGAAAUUGUCAGUCUAGUAUUUCAGUGGAAAAUACCUCGACUGACCAAAUGUAUGAUAUGAAAAUAUGGUUGAAAUAAAUAUGAGUUUAGAAUAUUUACCCUUCUGACAUAAUUAUGCAAAAUAAAUUUUAAAUGCUAAUUUGUUAUUAAAAUGUGCUAUUAUCUUGAUUGAUAUGGAAUAAUUAAAUUUACAGCAGGAAAAAGGACAAAAAAUUGUUUUAUCUGAUCUUCCUUGGUAAUCAUUUAGAUUAUUUUUACAGGUAUGGGCAUACAUUUUUAUUUUCAAUAAAGGACAUACUUGUUUUCCAAGAUGCCUAUAGGCUAUACACAUUCAUCUUAGAAAGCUUUGCAUGAGCAGUAGCCCAUUUUGUCCAGUUCAGUACCAGGCUACUAUUGACAAACUUGCGUAAAUAUUCUUCUUAGUUUUUCUUACUUUGUAGGUAUUGCUUUUAUUUGAUUGUCUCUCAUAAAAAUAAUCAAGCACAACCAUUCGAUGCGAUAUUAAUUGGGGGGGGAGGGGGGGUAUUUUUCCACGUAUAUGAUUAUUUUAAGUACAACACGUUAGGACAUCGUUCGUCAUAACUCGUCGAUUCCGUACCUCAUAGAAGGGAGUAGCGGAGUCACCCGAGGAUUGCCGAUUGGUUAGAUCAUUCGUCAUAACUCGGCCGAUUCCGUACCUCAUAGAGAAGAGUAGCGGAGUCGCCGAGGACUGCCGAUUGGUUAGGACAUACUUCUAAAAUCACUCUGAUUAUCUCCCCUUUAAUAUUGUCAAUAGUACUGUGAAGUGUUUUGAUUGUCUAUCUUAUAUGAACUAUCAAAAACAAAAACAUAUCAAGAAAAAUAGCACCUUUCUAAUCAAAACAAAAUUUACAUAUUUAGAUACAAACGAAUUCACUGAAGAUGAA
rnacentral:lncRNA from 1 species